AGCCUACGGGAGGCAGCAGUAGGGAAUCUUCCACAAUUUUCUAAGGCCUGAUGGAGCAACGCCGCGUGGGUGAAGAAGGUCUUCGGAUCGUAAAACCCUGUUGUUAGAGAAGAAAGUGCGUGAGAGUAACUGUUCACGUUUCGACGGUAUCUAACCAGAAAGCCACGGCUAACUACGUGCCAGCAGCCGCGGUAAUACGUAGGUGGCAAGCGUUAUCCGGAUUUAUUGGGCGUAAAGGGAACGCAGGCGGUCUUUUAAGUCUGAUGUGAAAGCCUUCGGCUUAACCGGAGGAGUGCAUUGGAAAG
rnacentral:rRNA from 1 species